rnacentral:rRNA from 1 species
UACGAAGGGUGCAAGCGUUACUCGGAAUUACUGGGCGUAAAGGGUGCGUAGGUGGUUUGUUAAGUCUGCUGUGAAAUCCCCGGGCUCAACCUGGGAAUGGCAGUGGAUACUGGCAAGCUAGAGUGCGGUAGAGGGUAGUGGAAUUCCCGGUGUAGCAGUGAAAUGCGUAGAGAUGCGGAGGAACACCGAUGGCGAAGGCAGCCCCCUGGGCUGACACUGACGCUCAGGCACGAAAGCGUGGGGAGCAAACAGG